rnacentral:rRNA from 1 species
CUACUCGACUCCGUACGGGAGGCAGCAGUGGGGAAUAUUGCACAAGUGGGGAAACCCUGAUGCAGCCAUGCCGCGUGUGUGAAGAAGGCCUUCGGGUUGUAAAGCACUUUCAGUAGGGAGGAAGGUAGUGUAGUUAACACCUGCAUUAUUUGACGUUACCUACAGAAGAAGCACCGGCUAACUCCGUGCCAGCAGCCGCGGUAAUACGGAGGGUGCGAGCGUUAAUCGGAAUUACUGGGCGUAAAGCGCAUGCAGGCGGCCUGUUAAGUCAGAUGUGAAAGCCCCGGGGCUUAACCUCGGAAUUGCAUUUGAAACUGGCAGGCUAGAGUCUUGUAGAGGGGGUAGAAUUUCAGGUGUAGCGGUGAAAUGCGUAGAGAUCUGAAGGAAUACCAGUGGCGAAGGCGGCCCCCUGGACAAAGACUGACGCUCAGAUGCGAAAGCGUGGGGAGCAAACAGGAUUAGAUACCCUGGUAG